UGAGGAAUAUUUCACAAUGGGCGAAAGCCUGAUGGAGCGACGCCGCGUGGGGGAUGAAUGGCUUCGGGUUGUAAAGCACUUUUUUAAUCGAGCAAUGCCUUUUAUGUGAUAAGCAUGAGAGGAGAGAUAUUAGGUUAAGAAUAAGCAACGGCUAACUCCGUGCCAGCAGCCGCGGUAACACGGGGGUUGCAAGCGUUGUCCGGAAUUACUAGGCGUAAAGGGCAGGUAGGCGGAUAUAUAAGUUUUGUGUUAAAGGCAUCGGCUUAACCGGUGUAAGGCAUAGGAUACUGUAUAUCUGGAAUGCGGUUGAGGAAGACAGAAUUCCUGGUGUAGCGGUGGAAUGCGUAGAUAUUAGGAGGAACACCAGUGGCGAAGGCGACUUUCUGGACUGUAACUGACGCUGAGGCACGAAAGCGUGGGGAGCAAACA
rnacentral:rRNA from 1 species